GACGAACGCUGGCGGCGUGCCUAACACAUGCAAGUCGAGCGGAGACUGUAGUAAUAUAGUCUUAGCGGCGGACGGGUGAGUAACCCGUGGGCAACCUGCCUUUCACUGUGGGAUAACACAGGGAAACGUGUGCUAAUACCGCAUAACAUCACGAGAUGACAUCUUCUUGUGAUCAAAGGAGCAAUCCGGUGAUAGAUGGGCCCGCGUCCGAGUAGAUAGUUGGUGAUGUAACGGACCAACAAGGCGACGAUCGGUAGCCGCACUGAGAGGUUGAUCGGCCACAUUGGGAAUGAGACACGGCCCGGACUCCUACGGGAGGCAGCAGUGGGGAAUCUUCCGAAAUGGACGAAAGUCUGACGGAGAAACGGCGCGUGAACGAUGAAGGCCUUCGGGUCGUAAAGUUCUGUUGUUAGGGAAGAACAAGUACCAGAGUAACUGCUGGUACCUUGACGGUACCUAACCAGAAAGCCACGGCUAACUACGUGCCAGCCGCCGCAGUAAAAC
rnacentral:rRNA from 1 species